rnacentral:rRNA from 1 species
AUUGAACGCUGGCGGCAGGCCUAACACAUGCAAGUCGAGCGGAUGAAGGGAGCUUGCUCCUGGAUUCAGCGGCGGACGGGUGAGUAAUGCCUAGGAAUCUGCCUGGUAGUGGGGGAUAACGUCCGGAAACGGGCGCUAAUACCGCAUACGUCCUGAGGGAGAAAGUGGGGGAUCUUCGGACCUCACGCUAUCAGAUGAGCCUAGGUCGGAUUAGCUAGUUGGUGGGGUAAAGGCCUACCAAGGCGACGAUCCGUAACUGGUCUGAGAGGAUGAUCAGUCACAGUGGACGUGAGACGGGGCCCAGACUCAUGGGGGGGGCAGCGGGGGGAAAUUUGGGACUGGGGGCAAAAGCCUGACCCAGCCAGGCCGGGGGUGAAAAAAGUGUUUUGGUUUUAAAACGCUUUUAAAGGGGGGAAGAGGGGGAGAAUUUUAACCCCUUGGUUUUGUGGCUGCACCAACAGAAAACACCGCGUAUAUUUUC